rnacentral:rRNA from 1 species
UACGGAGGGUGCAAGCGUUAUCCGGAUUCACUGGGUUUAAAGGGUGCGUAGGCGGAUUUGUAAGUCCGUGGUGAAAUCUCCGAGCUUAACUCGGAAACUGCCAUGGAUACUAUAAGUCUUGAAUGUUGUGGAGGUUUGCGGAAUAUGUCAUGUAGCGGUGAAAUGCUUAGAUAUGACAUAGAACACCGAUUGCGAAGGCAGCAGGGUACACAAAUAUUGACGCUGAGGCACGAAAGCGUGGGGAUCAAACAGG